GGGGCCGUGGCUCAGUGGCAGAGCAUCUGUUUUGCAUGCAGAAGGUCCUAGGUUCAAUCCCUGGCAUUUCCC
rnacentral:tRNA from 1 species